rnacentral:rRNA from 1 species
UACAGAGGGGGGCAAGCGUUGUUCGGAAUUACUGGGCGUAAAGGGCGCGUAGGCGGCCUACUAAGUCGAACGUGAAAUCCCCGGGCUUAACCCGGGAACUGCGUCCGAUACUGGUUGGGCUUGAAUCCGGGAGAGGGAUGUGGAAUUCCGAGGUGUAGCGGUGGAAAAUGCGUAGAUAUCUGGAGGAACACCGGUGGCGAAGGCGGCAUCCUGGACCGGUAUUGACGCUGAGGCGCGAAAGCCAGGGGAGCAA